AUUGAACGCUGGCGGCAUGCCUUACACAUGCAAGUCGAACGGCAGCACGGGAGCAAUCCUGGUGGCGAGUGGCGAACGGGUGAGUAAUAUAUCGGAACGUGCCCAGUCGUGGGGGAUAACGCAGCGAAAGCUGUGCUAAUACCGCAUACGAUCUAAGGAUGAAAGCGGGGGAUCGAAAGACCUCGCGCGAUUGGAACGGCCGAUAUCAGAUUAGCUAGUUGGUGGGGUAAAGGCCCACCAAGGCGACGAUCUGUAGCUGGUCUGAGAGGACGACCAGCCACACUGGAACCGAGACACGGUCCAGACUCCUACGGGAGGCAGCAGUGGGGAAUUUUGGACAAUGGGCGCAAGCCUGAUCCAGCAAUGCCGCGUGCAGGAUGAAGGCCUUCGGGUUGUAAACUGCUUUUGUACGGAACGAAACGGCCCUUUCUAAUACAGGGGGCUAAUGACGGUACCGUAAGAAUAAGCACCGGCUAACUACGUGCCAGCAGCCGCCGUAA
rnacentral:rRNA from 1 species